CCAUCUCAACGAAGAAAAGGAGCGGCCGAAUCUCCAGCCCCACGAUCUCCCCACGCGCACCCACCAACGACCCCCGUCCCCAAAAACCCUACGCCGCGCAAACCCUAGCCGCCGCCUCAGCAAUGGCCGGCCUCCUGCGGCUCGCCGGCGCCGCCAGAUCCUUCUCCCGCGCGCUGGCCCCGGCCGCGCCGCACCACCGCAGGCUCGCGGCAUCGGCGGCCGCCCUGGCGGAGGACGAUGCGUGCUGGACCGAGUGGGAGGAGGAGGAGGAGGAGGCGCGGCGGCAGCGCGCCCGCGCAUCGGCGCCCGCCGAGGAGUCUUGCCCGGCGGACGGCGGUCCCAGGGGCGUGCAGUGGGUGGUGAUGGGCCGCCCCGGCCCGCAGAAGCACGCCCACGCCGCGCGCCUCGCCGAGGUCCUCGCCGUGCCGUACAUCUCCAUGGGCACGCUCGUCAGGCAGGAGCUCAGCCCCACAUCCUCGCUCUACAAGAAGAUUGCUAAUUCGGUGAAUGAAGGGAAGCUUGUGCCAGAGGAUAUCAUAUUUGGGUUGCUGACUAAGCGUCUCGAGGAGGGAUACUACAAGGGUGAAAAUGGAUUUAUCCUUGACGGAAUCCCACGUACCCGUAUGCAAGCUGAGAUUCUUGAUGAGAUCGUUGACAUCGACUUGGUUCUGAACUUCAAAUGUGCUGAUAACUGUUUCAUGAAGAAGCGAUCUGGAGGCGACAUAUGUUCCCACUGUGGGCAGCAUUUUGGUGUCAGCAGUCCGGUGUCUAGGGAGCGUAAUCUCUCCCUUGGAAGCUCUACAUGGCCUGCUCAGGCACAACAUGCUUCUGUUAUAGGCCUGGAAAACCCAAGGAUGGAGAAGAUGCGUGCUUAUGCUGAGCAGACCAAGCAGCUGGAAGAUUACUACAAGAAGCACAGGAAACUUAUGGAGUUGAAGACAUCCGCUCGCCCUGGUGAAACCUGGCAGGGGCUCGUAGCUGCCCUUCACCUCCAGCAUCUAGACCCAUCCCCAACACCACACAAACUCACCGUGUAAUUAUCAUCCACUGAGUCUAAGGAUCUACAUUGUGAUCCUCACCUGCGACGUACGUAGUAUGUUUCUAUGUUUUGUGAGUUCUGGCUGAGGAGUCAGUCGGCUGUGGUGCUUUGGUCUUUAUUGGUUAUAGGUAUAAUGUAAGGCUCUGGUCUUUAUUGUUAUAGAUAAAAUGUAAGCGAUUUUGUAGACCCGCUUGCUUCUAUGUUUGUAACGGAGAGCUUUGAACUUGCAAGUGCAAGUGUGCGGUGUGCCAAGCUCCGCUGUGCUGUUGUUUUGAGUACCAGUUUUGAUCAAUAUAUAAGUUACCGUGAAUGUUGUGCAAC
rnacentral:rRNA from 1 species